UUUUUCAGUAGGAUUACACCAAAACGCCAAGUAAGUACAAUAAGUCUUCAUAUCCAGACAAUUUGGUAACAUCUUUAAAAGAAUGGGUACUUAUGGAAAUA